AUGAACGCUAGCUACAGGCUUAACACAUGCAAGUCGAGGGGCAGCAUGGUCUUAGCUUGCUAAGGCCGAUGGCGACCGGCGCACGGGUGAGUAACACGUAUCCAACCUGCCGUCUACUCUUGGACAGCCUUCUGAAAGGAAGAUUAAUACAAGAUGGCAUCAUGAGUCCACAUGUUCACAUGAUUAAAGGUAUUCCGGUAGACGAUGGGGAUGCGUUCCAUUAGAUAGUAGGCGGGGUAACGGCCCACCUAGUCUUCGAUGGAUAGGGGUUCUGAGAGGAAGGUCCCCCACAUUGGAACUGAGACACGGUCCAAACUCCUACGGGAGGCAGCAGUGAGGAAUAUUGGUCAAUGGGCGAGAGCCUGAACCAGCCAAGUAGCGUGAAGGAUGACUGCCCUAUGGGUUGUAAACUUCUUUUAUAAAGGAAUAAAGUCGGGUAUGGAUACCCGUUUGCAUGUACUUUAUGAAUAAGGAUCGGCUAACUCCGUGCCAGCAGCCGCGGUAAUACGGAGGAUCCGAGCGUUAUCCGGAUUUAUUGGGUUUAAAGGGAGCGUAGAUGGAUGUUUAAGUCAGUUGUGAAAGUUUGCGGCUCAACCGUAAAAUUGCAGUUGAUACUGGAUAUCUUGAGUGCAGUUGAGGCAGGCGGAAUUCGUGGUGUAGCGGUGAAAUGCUUAGAUAUCACGAAGAACUCCGAUUGCGAAGGCAGCCUGCUAAGCUGCAACUGACAUUGAGGCUCGAAAGUGUGGGUAUCAAACAGGAUUAGAUACCCUGGUAGUCCACACGGUAAACGAUGAAUACUCGCUGUUUGCGAUAUACAGCAAGCGGCCAAGCGAAAGCGUUAAGUAUUCCACCUGGGGAGUACGCCGGCAACGGUGAAACUCAAAGGAAUUGACGGGGGCCCGCACAAGCGGAGGAACAUGUGGUUUAAUUCGAUGAUACGCGAGGAACCUUACCCGGGCUUAAAUUGCAGAUGAAUUACGGUGAAAGCCGUAAGCCGCAAGGCAUCUGUGAAGGUGCUGCAUGGUUGUCGUCAGCUCGUGCCGUGAGGUGUCGGCUUAAGUGCCAUAACGAGCGCAACCCUUGUUGUCAGUUACUAACAGGUUCCGCUGAGGACUCUGACAAGACUGCCAUCGUAAGAUGUGAGGAAGGUGGGGAUGACGUCAAAUCAGCACGGCCCUUACGUCCGGGGCUACACACGUGUUACAAUGGGGGGGUACAGAGGGCCGCUACCACGCGAGUGGAUGCCAAUCCCAAAAACCUCUCUCAGUUCGGACUGGAGUCUGCAACCCGACUCCACGAAGCUGGAUUCGCUAGUAAUCGCGCAUCAGCCACGGCGCGGUGAAUACGUUCCCGGGCCUUGUACACACCGCCCGUCAAGCCAUGGGAGCCGGGGGUACCUGAAGUGCGUAACCGCGAGGAGCGCCCUAGGGUAAAACUGGUGACUGGGGCU
rnacentral:rRNA from 1 species